GAUGAACGCUGGCGGCGUGCCUAAUACAUGCAAGUCGAGCGAACAGACGAGGAGCUUGCUCCUCUGACGUUAGCGGCGGACGGGUGAGUAACACGUGGAUAACCUACCUAUAAGACUGGGAUAACUUCGGGAAACCGGAGCUAAUACCGGAUAAUAUAUUGAACCGCAUGGUUCAAUAGUGAAAGACGGUUUUGCUGUCACUUAUAGAUGGAUCCGCGCCGCAUUAGCUAGUUGGUAAGGUAACGGCUUACCAAGGCAACGAUGCGUAGCCGACCUGAGAGGGUGAUCGGCCACACUGGAACUGAGACACGGUCCAGACUCCUACGGGAGGCAGCAGUAGGAAAUCUUCCGCAAUGGGCGAAAGCCUGACGGAGCAACGCCGCGUGAGUGAUGAAGGUCUUCGGAUCGUAAAACUCUGUUAUUAGGGAAGAACAAAUGUGUAAGUAACUAUGCACAUCUUGACGGUACCUAAUCAGAAAGCCACGGCUAACUACGUG
rnacentral:rRNA from 1 species